rnacentral:sRNA from 1 species
AGUGGCUCAUUCACCUUCUAUGUCAGCCCUCUGUUACAGAGAUGCGCUACAUAAACCAUCGAAUGACGCACUUAAGGUGCCUGCCGUCCACCUUUUGCCAAUAGUCUUCGAGACCUGGCAUACAUCGGGCGAAACGUUGAGUAAGGCACCGCCU